AAAGUUUGGCAAAAUAACUUUAUUCCAAAGAUAUGGCGCACGAUAAGCAAUACCAUACUGGUUUAACUUUCUUCGACAAAAAGAUAUACUGUAAUUGGAUCAUCGGGAGUAAAUUUUACUCAAAACAACAUGGUAAUUUUGUAAAUUUCCUCAUUUGUCCCUGGAUCAAAAUUUCUUUGAACUUAACUUUAUAA